GACGAACGCUGGCGGCGUGCUUAACACAUGCAAGUCGAACGGAGCGAAUGAAAGCUUGCUUUUAUGAGCUUAGUGGCAAACGGGUGAGUAACACGUAGGCAACCUGCCGACAGGAUGGGGACAACAUUCCGAAAGGAAUGCUAAUACCGAAUGAAGCGGAGGAGAGGCAUCUCCCCUCCGUGAAAGAUGGCCUCUUUUUAUGCUAUCACCUGUCGAUGGGCCUGCGUCUGAUUAGCUGGUAGGUGAGGUAACGGCUCACCUAGGCGACGAUCAGUAGCCGGUCUGAGAGGAUGAACGGCCACAUUGGGACUGAGACACGGCCCAGACUCCUACGGGAGGCAGCAGUGGGGAAUCUUCCGCAAUGGGCGCAAGCCUGACGGAGCAACGCCGCGUGAGUGAAGAAGGUCUUCGGAUCGUAAAGCUCUGUUGAUGGGGACGAACGUGCCUAAUGCGAAUAGUAUUAGGUAAUGAC
rnacentral:rRNA from 1 species